rnacentral:rRNA from 1 species
GUGGAUUAGAUACCCUGGUAGUCCACGCUGUAAACGAUGUCGAUUUGGGGGUUGAGCUUUGAGCUUGGCGCCCGUAGCUAACGUGAUAAAUCGACCGCCUGGGGAGUACGGCCGCAAGGUUAAAACUCAAAUGAAUUGACGGGGGCCCGCACAAGCGGUGGAGCAUGUGGUUUAAUUCGAUGCAACGCGAAGAACCUUACCUACUCUUGACAUCCAGAGAACUUUCCAGAGAUGGAUUGGUGCCUUCGGGAACUCUGAGACAGGUGCUGCACGGUCGUCGCCAACU